UUGCAAUAAUAUUCAAAUCACCUCAUAAAUAUAUUAGUGUAGCCUUGUUCAAACUUAAGUAAAUCCACAACAAACUAAUAAAAUAAAGGUGUAAAUCUCUCUGUUUGUUUGGAGACGGAAAAACAAAAUAAAGAUACAAUUCUGAUGAAAAGAAAUAUAUUAUUACUACCUUCAUACAAUCUCGAAACAACAUCAGGCACUUCAUUUACAAGCACCAUUGACAUCAUCCAUACUUCAUUUACAAGCACCAUUGACAUCAUCCAUACUUACUGGCAUUUCUCCGAGUUUUAAAAGACACUUAACGUGUUUAUCUACGAGUUGGUUUUAAGAAAUACUAAGAUUGCAAAAUCUACAGCCAAACAUAAUCUGAAACAUGCUCCUCAGGUGAAUGGUUGAUAUCUCCACAACAUCAGGACCGGACAUUGUAUUUUUGCACCCUCCUACUUCCUCCCCAAAAUAGCAUGCGAGCUUCUAUCGAUCAAUUGUUAAUCAAAGACAUGAGGCGCAAACACUCCUCCUCCAAUAAUCGCCCCCGAAGACCAGAACAUUUUCCUAUCCUUUGUAGUCUUUCAAAAGUGAACAUGGGCCAAAUGCAAGAUCACACAACUUUCUAGUCCGCGACAAGGCAACAAAAGACGCACUCCAUUUCUGAAAGCCACCAUUUGACGAGAAACAAGUGUUGAACAGUCUCGAGUUCGGAACAAAUGCCAAUCGUUUAUAGUAGAUGUUCCAUCACUAUGUCUCAGUAAAGCUUCUCGAAAUGAUGCUUGUUCAUCUCCAGCUUGAGGAAAAAUCUGCGAUAAUCGAACACAUUUUUCAAAACCAGUAUAGGCAAGUCCACCACACUGUUGCAUAUAACCCCCAUUUCCAACAUACAAAGGACUAUCAAAUACAGGUCAAACACAUGUAAAAAAAAUAGAUUGUGAUUCCUUCAGAGACAAACAUAGGAUGCAUGAUCAUCAACAAAGUAUGAGAUUCCUUCACAGACAAACAAUCCAUAUCGCCCUUUCUUGAGACACAUAUAGCAGCACUAAGAGCACAUCUUUUAGAAACUGAACUUCUAUAAGUUGACGUGCAGAAAAUUAAGUUCUAUAAGUUCUAAACAAAAUUAUCUCAAAAUCUGAUUAAAAAAUAACUUCUAUAAGAGCACCAACUUGUUUUUAUGUUAGACCCACUUUGAGAUGAAGUAAGAAAAAUAAAAACAAAAAAUUCAGCUGUAUCACUCAAUUCAAAACCCACCUGUGUAUACUGUCUCAACAAGGACGAGGGAGUUUAGUUUCAGAAUAUGUAAGUUUAUAAGUGUUAUCGCCUGCAAGAAAUAUUGGUACAUGGUAAACUCAUUUCCGGAUGAAGGGGAAAAAAAUCACAAAAAUAGGUAUUUCCAAGGAGACAAUCACCUGUUUAUAAAGUGGCAACAGAGGUUGAGGGAGCCUAAUUGCAGAAUAUGCAAGUGUUUAAGUGUUGCAGCCAGAGAGCAUAUUGAACUAACUGCAAGAAAUAUUGGUUUAUGUCAAAUCCAUUUUCGGAUGAAGUAAGAAAGAAAAAAAUGCACAAAAAUUAUGUAUAACUAUAAAGACACGCACCUUUUAUAAAGUGGCAACGGAUCGGGGAGACAACGCCGAAGUUCAUCAUAUGUAAGCUUGUAAGUGAUUAUUGCCACAGAUCACGAGAAACAAAACUGCACCAGUUUUGGUAUAUGUUAGACCCACUUCGAGAUGAAGUAAAAAACAAAAACAUUAAAUUCAGCUCUACCAAGACGAUCUUAAAUUGACGUUCAUUAUAUUGACAUAUAUGAUCAGAUCUUGGACAAUUCCUGGAAACAAAGCAUGUACAAAUAUGCCCGAAAGUAAUAUAAUGCCAAAAAACCAAGUCUAGCAAUUACUUAUACUGAGCAGAAUUACUGUCAAGUCCUAAAAUAGCGCUCCAAUCAAAACCAUAGAAGUUCCAUAAACCCUGACAGGCUCAAAGUAUGCUACCUUAACGUUCUUAAUUGAGAGUAUGCUACCUUAAAACCAUAGAAGUUCACACGACGAAAUCAAUUAAAACCAUUUUAACUUAAUUGAGAGUAUGCUACCUUAACAUUCUUUCCUACUAUGUACUGUCUACUCUGGAUCACAGAGACCACUAGUGUUAUCUAAGUUGGCAAAUGAUAGCAUUUCCCUGUGGAUACAAACAUCUUGUGCAGGUCUGUGGAUACAAACAUCUUGUGCAGGUCUGCCUCAUGUGUGUUAUGAAUAUGGCAUAUGUACACAAUGUUGUAGAGAUAAGUGAGCUGAUUUAAAAUAUGUCGAGCAAUGGAAAAGUUUGUUUAAGCUGGUUUUGGGCUUAUAGAGUUAUUGAACAACAUUAGAUUGAGUAGUCGAAUGGAGUUUGAUAUAUACAAAAUCAGAGCUUGAAAAUUAUAUAGUAGGAUGCAAAUAGUUUAUGGUCAUUCUUCUGUGAGCCUAAGCAAUGGAAGAAUUGAAACAACUGCUCUUAACAUCAUGGGAGCUAAUUCUUAACAUUAUGUUUUAGGAAUAAUGCCCUAAUAAAGUGUGUGAAAAAUAUACGAAGACCACCGAUGUUUAAGAAGGCACACCACACACACACAAAGUUCACUAUCCAUGUAAACCAAACAAUGAAGGUUGAGAUGUGGGGACUUGGCAACAACUGAUUGGCCAUAUACCUCUUGUCUGGAACCUAUUUCAAUGUUAAAUACUACGGCAAACCUACUGUCAUGAUGGUCGAAGCUUGGGUCAGAUGGUUUUAAACAGGCUAUAUGGGAUGCUUUACCCUAUGCAAUUUGGUUACACAAUGCUGGAAUUUUUAGCAACAAGUACUCCCUAAAAAAAAAGAAAAAAAAAAAAAUUACAAACCACCAGCAAUACCAAAUGGAGGUUGUUACUUCUUAGUGUGUGUUGAUAGUUCAAGGAAAUUGACUUUAAUGAUUUAAUGUUCAUGUCAAGUUGAUUGAAUUUUAACUAUGAAAUCUGUUGUAAAAAAUGAUUAAAUAAAAAUGUUUUUCAUGCUCUCCGAAAUUUGUACGCAUUUGCAGGAAUUUUUAUUUUGAAUCUAUUACACUUCAAUUAAAUCUAUUGCCAACUUGGAACUAAAUCGCAGUUGAAGCAACCAAUCAACAGUAUCAAAGAAGCGAGAAUAAGGCCUGAGAAGAUAAAAACUUACCAGAUGAAUGGGAGAAGCUUGGCGACCCAAUUUCAUGAGAAAUUAGCAAGAACCCACCCCCCAACAUGCUUGAGAUGAGAAAUUGAGGCAGAAAUUCCCGAAGUGGAGCAUCAAUUUCCACCACCCACUAUGGUCAAGAGGCUUUGAGAUAUAAAAAGCUAAUUUGAAGCAGGAAUUUUGCGAGAACUCACCAGAACCAGGUAGUCAUCUUAGAGGAGAAUUUGAGAGAGAAGCUAAAUGUGGAGAGAAGAGAGCUUCAGAUGAGGAGAGACGAAGUUGCCCAAUGCGUUGUAGUGUGCGAGAUAAGAGAUUUGGAGAGAGCAUGAGAGAAGAUAACGAGAUUUUUGAGGAGGGAAGCAACGAGGUGUAGUUAUUGCAAGACAGACAGACAGACAAAUUUAAGACAAACCAUUUUUCAUACCCAACACAAUAGACCUCCCUACGGUCGGUCGGAUUAAGUUGAAUGGUUUAUGACUCAAAUCGUGUCAUUGUCUUCUCUUUGACAACAUUUAUAGUGCAAAACGCAGAAGAGGUUGAUGUAGCAUGUAAACAACAAAGAAGCAAACAAGAGGGAGAGAGGUGGUUGGGGACCGGAGUGUCUCUGUGUGUUGGGUGGGGGAUGGAGGGAGGGAUUGGGAUUUAUUCCACCUUUUAUCUAAACUACUUUAUCUGGCGCCCCCAUACCGAGGCGUUCAUGAGGCC
rnacentral:lncRNA from 1 species